GUCUACAGCCAUACGGGCCUGAAUGUGCCUGAUCUUGCCUGAUCUCAGAAGCUAAACAGAGUUGGGCCUGGUUAGUACUUGGAUGGGAGAAAUUAAGGUAACAUGCC
rnacentral:rRNA from 1 species